rnacentral:rRNA from 1 species
CCUACGGGAGGCAGCAGUGGGGAAUAUUGCACAAUGGGGGAAACCCUGAUGCAGCGAAGCCGCGUGAGUGAAGAAGUAUCUCGGUACGUAAAGCUCUAUCAGCAGGGAAGAUAAUGACGAUACCUGACCACGCAGCCCCGGCUAACUACGUGCCAGCAGCCGCGGUAAUACGUAGGGGGCAAGCGUUAUCCGGAUUUACUGGGUGUAACGGGAGCGUAGACGGCAGCACAAGUCUGGAGUGAAAUCCCGGGGCUUAACCCCGGAACUGCGUUGGAAACUGGGAGGCUGGAGUGCAGGAGGGGUAAGCGGAAUGCGUAGUGUAGCGGUGAAAUGCGUAGAUAUUAGGAGGAACACCGGUGGCGAAGGCGGCUUACUGGACUGUAACUGACGUUGAGGCUCGAAAGCGUGGGGAGCAAACAGGAUUAGAUACCCCAGUAGUC